GACCACUCAGGUAGCCUAGUGGUUAGAGCAUCCACCUUGGAUGUAUGAGGUCCUGGGUUUAAACCCCAGCUGAGUCA